rnacentral:rRNA from 1 species
GGUGAACGCUGGCGGUGUGCCUAACACAUGCAAGUCGAACGACAACACAGUAAGAUCUUGCUCUUACCGUUAGCGAGUGACGGACGGGUGAGGAGUGCAUCGCAAUCUACUUUUUCGGGGAUAAUAACGUGGGACAGCUGCCAAUACUGCAGCAUACGACCUACGGCUUAGAUCAGUAGUUCAUCGCGGCUUGCCCGUUUGUUUUAGACGAUGUCGCAUUAGCUAGUUGGCUGGGUAAAGGCCCACCAAGGCGACGAUGCGUAGCUGGUCUGAGAGGAUGAUCAGCCACACUGGAACUGAGACACGGUCCAGACUCCUACGGGAGGCAGCAGUGGGGAAUAUUCGACAAUGGGCGCAAGCCUGACGGAGCCACACCGCGUGAGUGAAGAAGGCCUUCGGGUUGUAAAGCUCUGUUGUUGGGAAAGAACAGCUGUGUGAGAAAAUCCGCACGUCCUGACGGUACCUAAACAAAAAGCAACGGCUAACUUCGUG